CAAAAUUUGUGACCGUUUUCUUCAUCAUCUAAGACAAAGCAGAGGGGUUCUCUGGUGAUUUUUGAUAGAGAAAACGUUUUCUUCUUCGGUUGUGGCAUCAAGCGACCGUUUCAGUGGUGGAAUCUUUGUUGCGGUUCGAAAAAAUGAGGAGAGGCCUGAGUACUGGGUGCUGGAGAUGUUGCGUAAAGAUUGGCUUGUUUGAUGGGUUAUUGUCAUGAAAGUUGUCGAGGUGAAGCAGACCAAGGCCAAGCAGGGGCUGCGGAGUUGUAUUUUCUGCAGGGUGAGAAUAACAGCCAUCCCAAGUGCUUAUUUUUUUUGACACGUAGUUUACACAAUAUGAUUCAGUUAUAAAAUCAUAAUUCUGAUGUGUUUUCAUUUGUUUUUGUAUGUGACACCGGCAUUGAGACUUAUUCGAGUGAAAGGAGAAGUAGAUGAUACACACUAGUAUAUUAUAUACAGUGAUGGGCAAAGGCUAAAUUGCAGCAGCAGAGACCCAAACCCUCAGUAUAGCCCAAAAAAUUGUGACUUCCUUCCUCCCAAUUUUUUAUAGCUUUAAUUGUAAUUAUUUGCAUAAAUCUAACUUAAGCUUUAGUUUAAUUUAA